GGGAGACAUGAGACAUCAAUCAAUAUAUGUAAAAUGAACAGUGGUUCCGUCUGGAGAGGCGGGACAACUCGAAGUGGGGAGGAGGCUUCCAGGUCAUAGAUGCUCCUCAUGCAGCAUGAAGAAGAAAUAAGUAAAGAUUUUCUAUCCAGUGAGAUCCAGCGGCUCCGAGAGCAGAACACAAGCUUGCGAAACGCGAUUGCCCAGAUGAGGAAAGAAAUGGAGGCUCUAAGCCAUCAGAUUCCUCCUCCCGUCCAGACAGCGGCAGAGAGCACAGAUGCAAACCAGCCUGACCCAGAGGCUGGGGGAGAUGCCGCCACUCCUGAUUAUGUUCUGGCCCUUGAAGCAGAAAUACGAACUCUAAAGCAUAAGUUUAAAACUCUGGAAAAGCAUCUAGAAGAUGUGUUGGAUCCUUUAAAGAUGUCCUCACCUCAUGCUGAGUCUCAGCCCAGCGUCCGCACCUUGACAGAGACGACUGAUCUGAGCUGACAGAAGCCACUCUUCUCUGCAGGAGGGUCUGCCCAAGCUGGUCAAGCCGGAGGAUCUGUCCAAGCUGGCCCAGUAUCCUCCGGACUGGCACUCAGGAAGCUCGGGGACAGAGUGCAGCUCCUAAACCUGCUGGUGA
rnacentral:sRNA from 1 species